rnacentral:lncRNA from 1 species
UUUGGACAUGUUAAGCUCCCGGAAUUUAGCCCGGAAGUGGCUGGUAAAAACUGUCCUUCUAACAGUUUUUUCUUAACUUUGUGUAGUUUGGUAGAAAUCCCAUAACUUGCUCCUCCGAUGUCGGAUUUAGUCCGUUUCGGAGUCUAUGGAAAGCUUAUUGAGUGUACUAUAACAUAUCACAAGUCCAGAAUUUUUAGACCACCCUAAUAAAUCCGAAAGUUUCUGUUUAGGGCAGCAGUCCACUAAUUCAUUUAAAACAAAAAAAACUGUUUUGGUUCAUCUUCUUUGUUCAAGCUUAUCAACCCUAAAAAUGACAAGAUCUAACCAUAAAAUAUCAUAUAUCAUGUAGAUCUUCC